rnacentral:SRP_RNA from 1 species
GGCGAGCCUUCCCGCAUGGUGCAGUGGCCAACCGGGUCAGAUGGGGAACCAAGCAGCCCUAACCAUCAAGCCAGUGACGGGGUUAAGGCUCGCCACC